rnacentral:tRNA from 2 species
GGGGGUGUAGCUCAGUCGGUUAGAGCAGGGGACUCAUAAUCCCUUUGUCGCGGGUUCGAGUCCUGCCACCCCUAC